rnacentral:rRNA from 1 species
UUUGGACAAUGGGGGAAACCCUGAUCCAGCCAUCCCGCGUGUGUGAUGAAGGCCCUCGGGUUGUAAAGCACCUUUGAUUGGGAAGAAAUAGCAGGCGCUAAUAUCCUCUGUGAAUGACGGUACCUGUAGAUUAAGCACCGUCUAACCACGUGCCAGCAGCCGCGGUAAUACGUAGGGUGCAAGCGUUAAUCGGAAUUACUGGGCGUAAAGGGUACGCAGGCGGCUAGGAAAGAAAGAUGUGAAAUCCCAGGGCUCAACCUUGGAACUGCAUUUUUAACUACCUAGCUAGAGUAUGUCAGAGGGGGGUAUAAUUCCACGUGUAGCAGUGAAAUGCGUAGAGAUGUGGAGGAAUACCGAUGGCGAAGGCAGCCCCCUGGGAUAAUACUGACGCUCAGGUACGAAAGCGUGGGGAGCAAACA